UGGCCGACAGAAUGCAAGAAAUGUUGUGCAGCUCAAGAAUAUCUUGCCAAUCUUUCUAUAACAGCAGACCCUGAAAAUGUUCAUAGAAAAAAUGAUAAAGUUCACUAGAGGGAGGCAUGAAGAGGAUGGAGCUGAAAGAGGGAGUGCAACUGCACUAAACGUGGCAGCCCACACGACGUUACAAGCAACAUGCCGUCUGUCCCUUCCACCCCCAAACAGAAACACUCUGCUGCAGUGAGACACGCCUGGAGGCAGCUGUGCUAAGCUAGCUCACUGCAGUAUGGUUCGUAACACCAUUACCUGACAAGAAAUAGAAGAUCCUCUGAUAACCUACAGGUCUGACGCUUGGAGCCACUUUGGUUUCAAUGUGAAUUAUGACGACAAUGUCGAGAGUUAUGGAUAUAAACAGUAUGUUGCAUCUGGUACAUGGUCAAAAUGUACUGUGCCGUGACACCACUGUGUCGUAUCAAACCAAACCAUGAAUUUUGUGAUCUGUUACACCCCCAGGAAUAUCUUAUUGUCGCCCAAAUAAUCAGUAUAAUAUUGCAUCCUGAUAAAACUUAUGAU